CCCUUAGAUGUUCUGGGCCGCACGCGAGCUACACUGAUGCAUUCAACGAGCCUAUCCUUGACCGACAGGUCCGGGUAAUCUUUGAAUCUGCAUCGUGACGGGGAUAGAUUAUUGCAAUUAUUAAUCUUCAACGAGGAAUGCCUAGUAGGCGCAAGUCAUCAGCUUGCGUCGAUUACGUCCCUGCCCUUUGUACACACCGCCCGUCGCUCCUACCGAUUGGGUGUGCUGGUGAAAUGUUCGGAUCGGCCGUUUGUCGCGGUUUCCGCGUCAUGUGGCUGAGAAGUUCAUUAAACCCUCCCACCUAGAGGAAGGAGAAGUCGUAACA
rnacentral:rRNA from 1 species